rnacentral:rRNA from 1 species
GACGAACGCUGGCGGCGUGCUUAACACAUGCAAGUCGAACGGACAGACCCUGCUUUUGUUCGUUUCUCGAUUGCCGAACGGGGGAGUAACACGUGAGGAACCUGCCCUUAACUGUCUGAUAACUUCACGAGACUGGGGCUCAAACCGGGUAGAAGCUCCUGCUGCAUGUGGUGGAUUGGAAAAUUUCGGCGGUUGGGGAUGGACUCGCGGCUUAUCCGCUUGUUGGGGGGGUAGUUGCGUACCAAGGCUUUGACGGGUAGCCGGCCUGAGAGGGUAACCGGCUACCUUGGGCCUGAGAUACGCCCCAGACUGCUAUGGGAGGCAGCAGUGGGGAAUCUUGCAGAAUGGGGCGAAGCCUGAUGCAGAAAUGUUGCGUGCGGGAUGAUGGGCUUCGGGUUGUAAACAGAUUUGGAAUGUGAUGAAGAGUGAGUGACGGUAAUGGAUCAAGAAGCAACGGCUAACUACGUG